rnacentral:misc_RNA from 1 species
AAAAUUAAUAAGAGCUAAAAUGUACAAACAGGCAGUCCCUAAGAGUUCUUAUUGGCAGGGCAAACAGGGAGUCUACAGUCUACCAUACAGGAAUGAUGGAUUUUCCUUAAUAGAGGCCCUGCAAUUUAUUUGUAUAACUUUCUAGCAGUCCUGCAUGUUGUACAAGGACACCAAAUGUGAGAAACAGACCACCAGAUGGAACUGUCCGGAAUCAAUCUGGAUAUGUCUCGCGAAGAACAUCUCUCAGUACAACACCUUCCUUUGGGCUCUGUCCNNNNNNNNNNGAAAUUUGGAGGAAAAUAGUCAGCAUCACUCCAACGUUUCAAUGAUGCAAUUGUGAAUGGACCCUGUGUAUCUCCCUGAGGAUCUUUAUAAUACCAUAUAUAGCUUGACAUAUCAUCAUCACUUGAAUCUUCAUCUUCUUCAUUUUCUUCAUCAUCAUCACUACUCAAUUUGAUCACCUCGACAUUCAUCACACCUUGAGAUUGAGAAUGCUCUUGUCCAUUCAUAGGCUGCAUUUUACCAUCGCUCUCACAAUCAAUCUCUGUUGGUUGCUUUUGCUCAUCCAUUCUAUUGUUCUGAUUUGACGUUGCCAUGGCUGCUUGGUUCCCCAUUCU